rnacentral:rRNA from 1 species
AAUCAACGCUGGCGGCGUGCCUAACACAUGCAAGUCGAACGCGAAAGGGCUUCGGCCCUGAGUAGAGUGGCGUCCGGGUGAGUAACGCGUGGGUAAUCUACCCUCGGUGGGAAUAACCAAUCGAAGAUUGGCUAAUACCGCAUAAUGCAGCGGCUCGACAUCGAGACAGUUGUUAAAGCAGCAAUGCGCCAGAGGAGGAGCCUGCGUCUGAUUAGCUUGUUGGC